CAUCCACUGGCCUUUGGCGCUCCCUUUCCAAAGAAAACGUUGGGACAGGUCCUGCUUUCCUAGUUCAGAAGUGAAAAGAUCACCUUUCACCUACCUACGGAGAGGCAGGCGACCAAGAUGCCCUGCGGAGCAUGCAAGCCUGACUUUCUGAGAAUAUGAUUGGUCAGUCUGCUCUCCGGUGUCCCAAAGCCUUCCAGACCUGUGGCCUCCUCCCAUUGUCUGAAGACGGCUGUCCCGAAGAAGUUUUGCCAUCUCUGUCAGCAGUCUUGAGAAGGCUGGCAGCCCAAAGAUAGUCCAACAAGAAAGCUUGCUACACUCUCCCUACAACCCACACCCCUAAAAGAACAUGGGGCUACAACAUGCUGCCUUUUCACUGUCUGUGGCCUGUGUUCAUGGGACUCUUCUGUCCUCAGCUCUCCAAGGUAGUCUAUCUCUCAUGAUGUCCAGUUAACACCAUAAGGAACUUACCGUCAUCUUCAAGUACACCUCCCCAGAAGGCAAGAGGCCAAACAAUCUAGAAAACUGGGACCUUGGGAAAAAAAGAGAGAGAACGAGAGAGAGAUGAAGGUGUAUUAUUGACAUCAGAUUGAGCUGGCCAAGCAGGGAGAGAGUGAUGUCAACAAGGAGUCUCAAAGAUGACCCAUGGCUUCUGAAAGAGGGCUCUCCUAUCAAGAUUGACAGCACCUGAUCACCCAGAGGGAAAGAAUGUUUAUGCCCUCAACCUGGAUCAACGUUCCAAUUCCAGAUUUCCUGUAUUAAAAACUAAAGAAUUAUUAACCCCAAAAGCACAAGCAACAAAGAAAAAAAAAUAGAUGAAUUAUGUGGUCCUUCAUACUUAACAUCUUCUGAGUAAAAAUGUGUGUGGUAGAAUGGGGGGAAAUAUCUGCACACCAUUUGUCUACGAAGGGGUUAAUAUCAGUGAUACAUAAAGAACUCCUGUGGCGGGAAGGACUCACCCCACAACCCCCUUUGUCUGCCAUGUGGUGGCAUGGGUGGGGAAAACAAUGCCCUCCCUCCCCUCGUCCCUUGCCACCUGUGGCAGGUGAGAGAGCUGGUCCCGGGGCCCAAGAGAGUGGGAGAACUGGCCCUGGCCCUCACCAGCUGUGGCACAUGGGACAGCGGGCACAGCACCUUGCCUGGCAGCACCACAGAGCUAACCCUGUUGUUGAGGGCCCUGGUGAGCUGGGUCUGUGGGCACGAGAGCAAGAGAACUGCCCCCGCCCCCUCCCUUGUAUCCCACGAGAUGGCAAGGGUAAAGGAAGUAUGCCCUUCCUGACUAGCCAUCUUCAACAGGCGGGAAAGCCAGCCUCGGGGCCAUGAGAAUGGAAGAGCUAGCCCUACACCUCGUCUGGGCAAAACAGUAGAGCGGACCCUGGUGGUGUGCAUGCAGGCGAGCUGGACCCAAAGGUGUGAGAACAGGAGAACUGACCCGCUCCUGCUGUCUGCUACAUUGGGUGAGCUAGCCGGGACAGUGCUGGAGAGCUUGCCCUGGUGACGAUGAGGGGAAGCUGGCAGGCUGACCAGCCCAGCUACCACCCAGGCCCAGAACCAGGACUACAAG